rnacentral:rRNA from 1 species
CCCGCAAGGGCCAGUGGCGGAAGGGUUAGUAAUAGCAUCGAACGUACCCCGAGGUGGCGGAUAGCGGUGGGAAACUGCCGGUAAUACGCCAUGAUCUCUCAGGAGCAAAGGUUUACCGCCUUGGGCUCGGCGAUGCGCCUAUCAGCUAGUUGGCGGGGUAAUGGCCCACCAAGGCGAAGACGGGUAGCGGGUGUGAGAGCACGGCCCGCAACAUCGGGACUGAGACACUGCCCGGACUCCUACGGGAGGCUGCAGCGACGAAUCUUCCGCAAUGGGCGCAAGCCUGACGGAGCAAUACCGCGUGUGGGAUGAAGCGGCUACGCCGUGUAAACCACUGUCAGGGGACGGAACCAAUGAUUGUCCCCAAAGGAAGAGACGGCUAACUCUGUGCCAGCAGCCGCGGUAAUACAGAGGUCUCGAGCGUUAAUCGGAAUCACUGGGCUUAAAGGGUGCGUAGGCGGCCCCGAAAGCGUCGUGUGAAAGCCCCUGGCUCAACCAGGGAACAGCACGGCGAACUACGGGGCUUGAGAAAACUAGGGGCCGACAGAACAGUAGGUGGAGCGGUGAAAUGCGUAGAUAUCUACUGGAAUGCCGAUGGUGAAGACGGUCGGCUGGGGUUUUUCUGACGCUGAGGCACGAAAGCGUGGGGAGCAAACAGGAUUAGAUACCCUGGUAGUCCACGCCGUAAACGAUGCACACUAGACCGGUGCGGCUCUGACGCCGGAUCGGUCGCCGUAAAAACAUUAAGUGUGCCGCCUGGGGAGUACGGUCGCAAGGCUAAAACUCAAAGGAAUUGACGGGGGCUCACACAAGCGGUGGAGCAUGUUGC